ACGACACACACAAACACAACCAAAGAAAAGAAGAAAAUAUAAGAGAGAGGGAAGGGUGGGGAAAGAGGAAAAUAAGGAAGAAGAAAAAAAAAGGAAGAAAAGAGAAUUUAAGAGGACCCGAUUUGACACGGUAAAAUUCGGAUGCAGAAAGGUGAGUUAUGAAUUAUCCCUGUUACAUGAAUUUUUCGUAGAAGUUUUAUUUUUGGCUUACUAAAGUAUGGUUAUUUAACACUCGAAUUCUUUUGUAGCAAAUAUACCAUGGAAUUAUGAUAUUUUGAACAAAUUAUGGAAAAAGUAUUAUCGAUACAUCCGAACGAUGUCUCUGAAUCUAGGGAACGUUAAAGAUACUAGUGUGAACGGUGUGAUAAGGGCGGAAUGGAAAGGGGCACAGCCGGGUGUCCAAUUUAAUUGAUCAAUUCAAGUUAUGCGCAUUGGGGGUCACUCCCUCAGUACCGGCGGUAAUCGUUGGAUGGUAUCAUAUUAUUAUGUUAUGAUAUGUUAUGUUAUACACAGAAAUGUUUUGGUUACAGCUCAAGCCAUAAAAAGCUGAAGUUAUGGUAUUGGUUACAGUUCAAGCCAUGAAAAACUGAGGUUAUGAUUCUUGCUUUUCUCUGAUAAAAAGGAUUUUAAAAAUUCCAUGGUAGGUCGUGUAACUCCGAUAAUUCAUAAUCUCACACAAGCAGUGGCUUAUGUUUGUUGAAAUCUUUCUUUUCAGAUAAUCAGAAAUAGUAGAAGGACGGGCCGAGUAACUAUACCAUUAAGCUUAUGUCGAGGUUAUGUAGUGGAAGGGAAACGAGAAAAAAAAAUGUAGCUCAUGUCUCCGUAAUUAAAAGGAAAAUCUAGUGACUUUUAUUUUUUUAUAGAUCGCUUCCGCAAAUGUUAAGUAUAUUUCUUU